rnacentral:rRNA from 1 species
UAGGGAAUAUUGGUCAAUGGGCGGAAGCCUGAACCAGCCAUGCCGCGUGCAGGAAGACGGCCUUCUGGGUUGUAAACUGCUUUUACCAGGGAACAAAUAGGCCAUGCGUGGCAAGUUGAGUGUACCUGGAGAAUAAGCACCGGCUAACUCCGUGCCAGCAGCCGCGGUAAUACGGAGGGUGCAAGCGUUGUCCGGACUUACUGGGCGUAAAGCGCACGCAGGUGGUAACGCAAGUGGGGUGUGAAAGCCGCCAGCUCAACUGGCGGAGGCCAUCCCAAACUGCGUCACUUGAGGCCUGUAGAGGUAUGUGGAAUUGCCGGUGUAGUGGUGAAAUGCGUAGAGAUCGGCAGGAACACCCAGGGGGAAGCCAGCAUACUGGACAGGUCCUGACACUCAGGUGCGACAGCGUGGGGAGCGAACCGGAUUAGAUACCCCUGUAGUCC